AGUAUGAUCCGAAGCCUGAACGACAAGCCUGCCUUUCAAAAAAUAGUUCCUAAAGUCUUCAUCUAGAUAUAUUUAAUUUUUCCUGAAAGUUGUUCUUUCGAUUAAUCUCGAUAGUAGAACCGAAUAUCUCGAUAUUUCGAUUCUCGAAGUUCAAAGAUCUUGCUGAAACUCUGGAACUCCUGUGAGUGCAUUAAAUUACGAUAUUAUAGAAAACAUUUUGCUUUCAAAGAACAACUGUCUUAUAUAUUUGUUGCAAACCUGGAAUUAUUGCUUAAUCAUCAUUUUACUUACGGAGAGCUGGGUGAAAAUAAAUUUUCCUAUAACUAGUGCAAGGAAAACUAAUGCAAGACAUGUUGUGAUACAUUAAAGGAAAUGAUAAAAUAUGCAGUGCCUGGAGGGAUACAAAUUUGGUCCUCUUUCACCAUCGUCCUUUGGAUGUAAAUACCGUUUGAAAUUUAAGUUACGCGCUAUCGUGUUAAUGUUAAGGGAAUGAUUUCAAUUUAAUACGUACUCACCUAGAAUACCA